GACACCUGGCCCGCGGCCAAUAGGCUUGUGAGUGCCGGCGCGCGUUUACCAUCCUUCUAGAAAACGAUUCUGCCAUUGACAUGGUUGGGACCGCGAUCUAGAUCUUUUUUUUGUUGGUUUCUAUAACUGAAGUAAUGAUUGAUAGGGAUAGUUGGGGGUGCUAGUAUUGGCCGGCCAGAGGUGAAAUUCUUGGAUUCGGUCAAGACUAACUUAUGCGAAAGCAUUCACCAAGGAUGUCUUCUUCUGUCUCUU
rnacentral:rRNA from 1 species